AUUGAACGCUGGCGGCAGGCCUAACACAUGCAAGUCGAACGAGUGGCGGACGGGUGAGUAAUGUCUGGGAAACUGCCCGAUGGAGGGGGAUAACUACUGGAAACGGUAGCUAAUACCGCAUACUAUCAGAUGUGCCCAGAUGGGCUUAGCUGGUGUGUGGGGUAAAGGCUCACCAAGGCGACGAUCCAUAGCUGGUCUGAGAGGAUGACCAGCCACACUGGAACUGCGACACGGUCCAGACGCCUACGGGAGGCAGCAGUGGGGAACAUUGAACAAUCGGCGCAAGCCUGAUGCAGCCAUGCCGCGUGUAUGAAGAAGGCCUUCGGGUUGUAAAGUACUUUCAGCGGGGAGGCGUUACCCGCAGAAGAAGCACCGGCUAACUCCGUGCCAGCAGCCGCGGUAAUAC
rnacentral:rRNA from 1 species